GCUCAGUGCCAGACCUGCCAUGAGACUACAGAGCACAUAAAGCCUGAAGGCCUGUAUUCCCAGGUACUGCUCCUGAUCACAACUUCUGUCUCUGUUUCAGCACCUCAUGGAGACAUGAACCAAGGAUAAAGAAUGAAAACCAACAGAUUUUCUUAGCCAAGAGAGGAAAAUUUGGAAGACAUAAAAGAUGAGCAAGGA
rnacentral:lncRNA from 1 species